UACGUAGGGUGCAAGCGUUAAUCGGAAUUACUGGGCGUAAAGCGUGCGCAGGCGGUGAUGUAAGACAGGUGUGAAAUCCCCGGGCUUAACCUGGGAACUGCAUUUGUGACUGCAUCGCUGGAGUGCGGCAGAGGGGGAUGGAAUUCCGCGUGUAGCAGUGAAAUGCGUAGAUAUGCGGAGGAACACCGAUGGCGAAGGCAUCCCCUGGGCCUGCACUAACGCUCAUGCACGAAAGCGUGGGGAGCAAACAGG
rnacentral:rRNA from 1 species